GGGUGAAGACAUAGUGGGUGACACAACUCCUCUGAAAUUCCUAGUGAUGCCAAACAAGAAUUUCCAGGAACUGAAGAUGAGGGGGUUAAUGCCCCUCAUCAUCCAAACAAACAAAUGGGAGGACGAACAACCCACACCAUCAUGAAAACUCAUUUCCAAGUAUGUUGGUCUAGCUCCUGCUGCUUGGCUUGUCACACUCCUUACCUGCAGGGAUUGCUAUCUAAUUCAGAGAUGCAAGUUUAGCUGCAGCCUUCGAAGAAUGGGAUAUGGUACUCUAUUAGAAACCAGCAAGCAAGCACCAAUUACUGACAUGCUCACCUACCAGUCAGAAAAUGCAAGUGCUAAUUGGCUGUCAGUUUUCAGUGAACCAGAAGGUUUUCAUACAUAUUAUUGGCCUAACUGCAGAUGAUUUAACUUACAGCCAUAUGGACCUUUGUGGCUCAGCAAAUUCAAGACCUUUCUCUGGAAUCCAUUUCAAUAGUAGCACUAAUAUGACUUCAAGUUUACUCCAACAAUUAUGUUUUCAAAACUACUAUAGCUUCUAAAAUUUCAAUACAUUUUCAAGUUCCUUUUUACCUGAGUUUACUUUCUAAACUUCAUAAAGAGAACUUGUCUAAGAAGAACUAUCCUUAGUUUCAACCUCAGAGAUAAGAGAAGGGUUUUCACAGAGCAGCUGUCAUGUAAAUUGACAUGUUUCACAUUGAUCCAUCAUAAUGUGUAACAACUUUUGAGCACCUUCAGCUGUUUUGUAUUCCCCUUAAAUGUUUGUAUCAUGAAGUCAAUGCUAUUACAGGAAAUGGUAAACCCAACAUAAGAUUAUCAUAAAAUAAUCCUAUUAACACAAAAUUGUCUGCUACAGCGUCUUACCUGUCAACUACUUCUUCAGCUUCAACCUCAAUAAUACACAGGCAAACAAUCGAUCCAAACUCAAGAUAAACCACUCCAAACUCGAUUGCAGAAUAUACUUCAGCAACAGAGUGGUCAAUGCCUGGAAUGCUCUAACCCUAACCCUAACCGUCAUCCCAUUCCUAAGAGGCCUGUAAAGGGGGCGUGCAUAAGUACACCAGUAUGCCUACCCUUCCUGUCUUACUGUCCCCAUUUAUCUAUGUUUACUCCCUUUUUUUCAUGUUUAUAGUCAUACUUAUACUUGCUACCUUGUACAUGAUUGACAAACAAAUAAAAUAAAAUAAAUAAAUAAGAAAUAAAAAUUCCGGCUGAAUUUGAGAUAACUGACCCUACCCACAGUAAACUAUAUUGCCUAGAAACAUGGUCUCCAUAAUAAUGAAGACUUCAUUAUUUAAAUCUAUCUAUCUAUCUAUCUAUCUAUCUAUCUAUCUAUCUAUCUAUCUAUCUAUCUAUCUAUCUAUCUAUCUAUCUAUCAUAUAUAACCAAUAUCAUACAAAGUGACUCUGGGCGGUGUAAUUAUAGGUAUUGUAAACUACCCCAUAUUUCCUCUUUUGAACUGUAAGUGAAAAGUGUCCAUGGAAUCAUAUUUAGUCUUCCAAAUUUGAUAGGAGGAAUAUAUUGCACACAACACAAAUUACCAAAUUUUCCAAAUAAGGGCCCUCAAAGAGCUGUGUAAAAACACAGCCACUCAUUCCAUUUCUUCUAGCAGUGAGAGGGAGGACACAUGUGGUUUUUAAAGGGCUGCCUCAGAAAAAACUUCAUUGAAUUGGAGCAGGCCUUUGGAAUUUUACCAGCCAUUAAUAAAUAGGUCUCCAUCACUCAGCAUAAAGAGGAAGAGAUGAUGGACUAAUGUCUGUGUUGUUUUGGAUGGAAGUCAAGCUGCUGUAUCGUAUGAAUAAAAAAAAAUUUGAUUGGUUUACCUGUCUGCUUACAUGUUUUCCAUUUGUGCAGACCAAUUUGUGUUCACUCAUUAAGAAUGUUUCAUGUGGAACAUUAUUGUAAAUUGUAACAGAGUAAGGUGGUUAAUAUAUAUCAUAUUCCCACCUUUUAUUGGUUGUGGAUGUAUUUAAAAAUUCAAUAAAUGUGUGUUUGGCAAAGUACUUUGUAAAACAUCAAGAGUCCCACAAAAUUAAUUUAAACAAAAAAACAAAAAGUAAUCCUAGGGCCAAUUAGUUGUUUAAGCCCAAUUGAAAUCGGAGGGAUUUUCUUUGUGGUAAAUAUGCAUGCUUUGCAAAACCUGAGCUUCUUAUAAAAUCUCAGUUCCUUUUCCAGCUUAGUUAAAAUAAACUUGUGCAAAUCUGAUCUGCUGGAUAACUUGUGUAAUUUUCAAGAAGUCAGAUAUAAGAACAGAGUAAAAUAAUACAGGUUGACUGAUAUUCAUCCUUAAUUGUGGUAAUAUGACUAAGUUAACAUUUUUGUUGUCAAUGCAAAAUAAUAUUUAACGUAUAUUAUUAUAUGCGCAAUGUAUAUUAAGCAAAUUAAUGUUUCAUAAACUUACAGAAUAUGUUUUUCUAUAUUAUCGGACUUAAGAUGUUUGUUAAC